UAAGUUUUCACUAAUGCAGACAGUGGAUGCCUUGGUACAACCUACCUAAGAAGGACGUACAUGGUGACGAAACUCAGCGGGGAGCUGCCACGAAGCUUUGAUCCGUUGGUGUCCGAAUAGGGAAACCUACUCAUUUUGAGUA
rnacentral:rRNA from 1 species